UAGUUCAGCUGGUUAGAAUGCCGGCCUGUCACGCCGGAGGUCGCGGGUUCAAAUCCC
rnacentral:tRNA from 1 species